rnacentral:tRNA from 1 species
AUCUGGCUAGCUCAGUCGGUAGAACAUGAGACUCUUAAUCUCAGGGUUGUGGGUUUGUGCCCCAUAUUGGGUG